CACCGAAUCCACAAGAAAUGUUAAAGGAAUUUCUUUAAGCUGAAAUGAAAGGGGGCUAAUUAGUAACAGGAAAACAUAUGAGAGUAUAAAUUUCAUUGUAAAAAUAAAUAAACAGCAA